GGGGAGAAGCCCAGCGCUGAAUCUCUCGGUGUUACACCGUUGAGAAAU
rnacentral:rRNA from 1 species